GAAUCUAGCUCUAGGUCGGGGACAACCACUGGAAACGGUGGCUAAUACCGGAUGUGCCGAAAGGUGAAAGAUUUAUUGCCUAGAGAUGAGCUCGCGUCUGAUUAGCUAGUUGGUGUGGUAAGAGCGCACCAAGGCGACGAUCAGUAGCUGGUCUGAGAGGUUGAUCAGCCACACUGGGACUGAGACACGGCCCAGACUCCUACGGGAGGCAGCAGUGGGGAAUUUUCCGCAAUGGGCGAAAGCCUGACGGAGCAAUACCGCGUGAGGGAGGAAGGCUCUUGGGUUGUAAACCUCUUUUCUCAGGGAAUAAGAAAGUGAAGGUACCUGAGGAAUAAGCAUCGGCUAACUCCGUGCCAGCAGCCGCGGUAAUACGGAGGAUGCAAGCGUUAUCCGGAAUGAUUGGGCGUAAAGCGUCCGCAGGUGGCACUGUAAGUCUGCUGUUAAAGAGCAAGGCUCAACCUUGUAAAGGCAGUGGAAACUACAGAGCUAGAGUACGUUCGGGGCAGAGGGAAUUCCUGGUGUAGCGGUGAAAUGCGUAGAGAUCAGGAAGAACACCGGUGGCGAAAGCGCUCUGCUAGGCCGUAACUGACACUGAGGGACGAAAGCUAGGGGAGCG
rnacentral:rRNA from 1 species